AAAUUGAAGAGUUUGAUCAUGGCUCAGAUUGAAUGCUGGCGGCAGGCCUAACACAUGCAAGUCGAACGGUAACAGGAAACAGCUUGCUGUUUCGCUGACGAGUGGCGGACGGGUGAGUAAUGUCUGGGAAACUGCCUGAUGGAGGGGGAUAACUACUGGAAACGGUAGCUAAUACCGCAUAACGUCGCAAGACCAAAGAGGGGGACCUUAGGGCCUCUUGCCAUCGGAUGUGCCCAGAUGGGAUUAGCUAGUAGGUGGGGUAA
rnacentral:rRNA from 1 species